AAGUAUAAAACUGACUUUAAUGAACACACACCUGCAGCCGGCCUGCUUCACAGUGUCUCCUCCUGAAGGGGUCACUGCCCCUUCACCCUCCUCCUCCUCCUCCUCCCCCUCUUCCUCCCCCUCCUCCCCCGACUGUUGUGCACACACGUGUGUUUCCCCCUCACAUGUUUUAUCUCCUCCCACCUCCUCCUCCUCCUCCUGGGCUCCCCUCCCCUUACACCAACACACUCUCAUCUACUCUCUCUCUCUCUCUCUCUCUCUCACUUGGUCUCUGUUGCUGGGAUCCAUAGGCGUUCGGAGGACAGGAACAGGACAGGUCACGCACCCUCAAUACCACACAGCAGCCCCACCACAGACAUGUCGGACUCCGAAGCCGCCGCCGCCCCUGCUGAGGCCCCCGUCCCUGCUCCUUGUGCCAGCAUCAAGGCUGACCUGGACAAAUGCGUGGCAGAGAAGGGAGCCGAGGGCUGCAAAGAUCUGAUGGAGGCCUUCGCCGCUUGUGUGAAGAGUGCAGCUGAGGGGACGUCAUGAGGAGUCGCCCUGCAGCCUCCAAUGUAAGGACGUCAGCCACAACAUACAGUGUGAGACUGAAGCAGCGGCAGGAACACUUUCUGCUUGGUUCUUGCUGUUCUCUGUGCUGGUAACCACCAAAUAACCAAUAAAACAUGUAGGAAUAGCA
rnacentral:lncRNA from 1 species